UGUCUUGAGCGAGCUCCUCAAUCUGAGUCUCAGUUCUCGCGUCUGUGACAGGAAGGUUAUGCUGCCUAUGAGCUCCUGUUCUUCUGACGGUUAAGUGAGGACAUUGGCGCGGAGAGACAUGCAGAGAACCCCACGCAAGUUCACGAAACUUCUAACAAACUGUCCAGUCCGAAACUGAAUCCAUGUCUUCCAGUUCUGAUUUUGUGAUUCCCAGCAUAACAUCACAGCAAGAGGAAACGUACUUCAGGAAGGACCAGAGCAGAGACUCUUCUCCCGCCCUUCUGAUUCUUUACAGCAAAAGCAUCAGAAUCACAACGGAACGCUUUGAAAAUACAGAAAAAUGGAAUACAGAAGAUCAUCAAUGGAGUGCUUUCAAGUGAAUCACAAUCACACGCAUGUGCAAAACCAUCGGUGAAGUCUAUAUGUGCAAUUAAAUGCCUAAUUAUGCUUAAA